UAGGGAAUAUUGGUAAUGGGCGAAAGCCUGAACCAGCAACGCCGCGUGAGCGAUGAAGGCCUUCGGGUUGUAAAGCUCUUUUGAAGAGGAUGAGGAAGGACAGUACUCUUCGAAUAAGCCUCGGCUAACUACGUGCCAGCAGCCGCGGUAACACGUAGGAGGCGAGCGUUAUCCGGAUUUACUGGGCGUAAAGCGCGUGUAGGCGGCUCGGAAAGUUGGAUGUGAAAGCUCCUGGCUUAACUGGGAGAGGUCGUUCAAAACUACCGAGCUAGAGUACGAGAGAGGGAGGUGGAAUUCCGGGUGUAGUGGUGAAAUGCGUAGAUAUCCGGAGGAACACCAGUGGCGAAAGCGGCCUCCUGGCUCGAAACUGACGCUCAGACGCGAAAGCUAGGGUAGUAAACGG
rnacentral:rRNA from 1 species